CUUUCUUACCAAAGCUCCGGUGAAGAAAGUGCAUUUGUUGUGGUGUGAUGAUUGCUGGAGCUGAUUGCUGGGGGAGCAAUUUGAGCAACAUCUUGGAAGAUUUCUUUUCCUUCGACUCUACUGCUGCUGUCAGGAAUUCAUAAGGCCCAGAUGGAGAACAAAAAGAAAAACAGCUGAAGCUCACAAAACAGUGAUAAGAAAUGGAGUAAGAACGAAGAGAAGACAACAGAAUCUAAACCUGUCAAAGACAGAUGGGGAGAGAGAAUAGAAGAGCAAAACAAAGCAAAAGAGUCCUUUCAAUCUCUACGUAAAUCUGACCCCCUGAAUGCACACACCAUAGUACUGUUGCUGUACCGCACCCAGCGAUCCUCUUUCACAUGCCAAUGACCCCCCAGCAUCUGCCUGAAUGCCCCC
ensembl:lncRNA